rnacentral:rRNA from 1 species
CCUACGGGCGGCAGCAGUGAGGAAUAUUGGUCAAUGGACGAGAGUCUGAACCAGCCAAGUAGCGUGAAGGAUGACUGCCCUAUGGGUUGUAAACUUCUUUUAUAUGGGAAUAAAAUGUUCCACGUGUGGGAUUUUGUAUGUACCAUAUGAAUAAGGAUCGGCUAACUCCGUGCCAGCAGCCGAGGUAAUACGGAGGAUCCGAGCGUUAUCCGGAUUUAUUGGGUUUAAAGGGAGCGUAGGUGGAUUGUUAAGUCAGUUGUGAAAGUUUGCGGCUCAACCGUAAAAUUGCAGUUGAAACUGGCAGUCUUGAGUACAGUAGAGGUGGGCGGAAUUCGUGGUGUAGCGGUGAAAUGCUUAGAUAUCACGAAGAACUCCGAUUGCGAAGGCAGUUCACUGGACUGCAACUGACACUGAGGCUCGAAAGUGUGGGUAUCAAACAGGAUUAGAUACCCCUGUAGUC